UACGAAGGGUGCAAGCGUUACUCGGAAUUACUGGGCGUAAAGCGUGCGUAGGUGGUGAGUUAAGUCUGUCGUGAAAGCCCCGGGCUCAACCUGGGGAAUGGCGAUGGAUACUGGCUCGCUAGAGUGCGGUAGAGGAGAGUGGAAUUCCCGGUGUAGCAGUGAAAUGCGUAGAGAUCGAGAGGAACACCUGCGGCGAAGGCGGGUAGCUGGGCCGACACUGACGCUGAUGCGCGAAGC
rnacentral:rRNA from 1 species